rnacentral:rRNA from 1 species
AGAGUUUGAUCCUGGCUCAGGAUGAACGCUAGCUACAGGCUUAACACAUGCAAGUCGAGGGGCAUCAUGGAGUUUGCUUGCAAACUCUGAUGGCGACCGGCGCACGGGUGAGUAACGCGUAUCCAACCUUCCCUAUAGUAGAGGAUAGCCCGGCGAAAGUCGGAUUAAUACUCUAUGUUUUCCGUUGCAGACAUCUAAGAUGGAACAAAGGCUUGCCGCUAUAGGAUGGGGAUGCGUCUGAUUAGACAGCAGGCGGGGUAACGGCCCACCUGGCCAACGAUCAGUAGGGGUUCUGAGAGGAAGGUCCCCCACACUGGAACUGAGACACGGUCCAGACUCCUACGGGAGGCAGCAGUGAGGAAUAUUGGUCAAUGGGCGAGAGCCUGAACCAGCCAAGUAGCGUGCAGGAUGACGGCCCUAUGGGUUGUAAACUGCUUUUAUAUGAGGAUAAAGUUCGUUACGUGUAACGUUUUGCAGGUAUCAUAUGAAUAAGGACCGGCUAAUUCCGUGCCAGCAGCCGCGGUAAUACGGAAGGUCCGGGCGUUAUCCGGAUUUAUUGGGUUUAAAGGGAGCGCAGACGGUCAGUUAAGCGUGCAGUUAAAUGAUGUGGCUCAACCAUGUUAUGCUGCGCGAACUGUCUGACUUGAGUUCACGGAACGUGGGCGGAAUUUGUGGUGUAGCGGUGAAAUGCUUAGAUAUCACGAAGAACUCCGAUUGCGAAGGCAGCCCGCGGCAGUGUUACUGACGUUCAUGCUCGAAGGUGCGGGUAUCGAACAGGAUUAGAUACCCUGGUAGUCCGCACGGUAAACGAUGGAAUGCUCGC